rnacentral:misc_RNA from 1 species
CUCAAUCUGAUGCUUAACGUGCGCACUCUUUUACUCCCUCUCUCCUCUAGAUUCCUCACGAGUCAUUCUGACUAUACAUUUACCGAAUCACCCUCCUCGUGCAAUAUCAAUCGCUCAUACAUAUGGACUUUUCAGUAAUUUGAUGGUCAUCUCUUUCUUGCCUUAAAUAUUUCAUAAAGUUCUUUCUUUUAUCUUUUUCGAACUCGACACAUUCCAAUCUGAAACCUCAAAUCUGUCUUAUCUUCUUCUUCUUCGUCUUCGUCAUUGAAGAACUCGUUUUGUAUUUAUUUAUUGUUGUUAAGCUGCUGCAGCAAUUCCCAGUUCCUGCAAUAUCAGCAAUUUUGAGGUUUUGUUUUUCCCCGCCCCCUUCUUUUGAGAUUGCGUUUUUUUUAUCUCUUCUCAUUUUGAUUUAUGGCGGCGGGGACAAUGGCGACCGCCGCCGGAGCGGCGGUUUUGUUGUACAUUUUGAGUCGGAGAUUGGUGGCCAAGAGCGGGGAAGAAUCCGAUCGGAGUGGGGAUUUGUCGAAAUCGAGAUCGGGGAGGAGGAGGAUUGCUCGCAGGCCAGCACAAGCACCCGCGACUUGGCUUGAAACGAUAACAACGCUAUCGGAGACGCUUAGAUUCACUUAUUCUGAAACUUUAGGCAAAUGGCCGAUUGGAGAUUUGGCUUUUGGUAUUAAUUACCUUAUGCGGAGGCAGGUAAGCUGCGGUAAUUAUCUGAAAUCUAUGGGGGUUUGGGCUGAAGAACGACGAUAUUUUGUUUUUAGGACUCUUUAGAUAAUUCCUGACAGCACUAGACUCACAUCUUUAAUUUUCUAUUCUUUCAAUCUUCUUCUUCUUGCAGGGUAAUUUGCAAGUUGCAAGUGUAUAUGCUGGUAGUAAUUGUGUACAGCUAAAAGGCCCUGAAAUUAUAACAGAAUUGAAUAGCCUGUUGAGAUUACUAACCCUUUGCAUGUUCUUUUCCAAGAAGCCCUUUCCUGUGUUUUUGGAGUCUGCAGGAUAUUCUCUGGACAAUGUUCUUCUUCAGAAGCCUAAAGCAGGGGUGAGUAACCAUUCUGCAUUAGAACGCUCUUCGAUUUAUAUGACACGCAAAGCUGUCCAUAUCAUAUUUUGAAACAUAGUAUGCUUUAAAUAUAUUAAGAGAUGAGCUGGGUGAUACAGGUAGCAUAUUUACAUGGACCCACUCUUUAAUAUACUCUUACCAUUUUCAGUGAACUCGUUUUGGGUUUUCCUUUUCCAAAUAGAACCGCGAUACUAAAUCCUGAUACUGGAUAAAAGUUGACUUGUUUAACUCGACUGUAAAUAAAAGUAGCUCACAGCUUCUCCCAAUUGUAGCACUGUCACCGUAGAUAAAAGUUGAAUAUUCACAGGCCAAUUAACUUGUUAGUUUUGCGUCUUGAUCGUGAAAACACCAAUAAGGAUGGAUUUGUAAACUACUGUUGGUGGAUCUGAUAUUUUGAAGUAGUUGUGUAGCUUAUUGUCUUCUCUAUACUAUAAGUUCUAUGAUUAUAGUAUUGUUUGUGUGUGUUUGAAAUGGAGAUUGCAUUAAUUUUUGCAGCAAUGAUUGCAGCUUCUGAAGCCAGCAUUCACAAUUAUACAUGAUAAAGAUUCAAAAUGUUUCCUUCUAUUAAUUUGUGGUACUCAUAGUAUCAAAGAUACAUUAACAGCAGCAACUGGUGCUGUGGUUCCUUUUCAUCAUUCAGUUUUACAUGAUGGUGGGAUAAGCAAUUAAGUUUUAGGAUAUGCACACUGUGGAAUGGUUGCUGCUAGUUGUUGGAUUGCUAAGCUCAGCAAUCCUUGCCUGCUCAAGGCACUUGACGAACAUCCCGACCACAAUGUUAAGAUUGUUGGGCAUUCACUUGGUGGGGUAACUGCUGCAUUAUUAACAUAUAUUCUUUGGGAACAGAAGGAGUUCUCUUCUAGCACUUGCAUCACAUUUGCCCCAGGCUAGUUACUGCUGAUCUUACUAUUUUUUUUCCAGUCUUGAUUAACUGUUCUAAAACCUAAAUGAUCCACUAAAUCAUGAAAAAUUACUUUUUUGAUGUGUAGGGAUUUUAAAAACCUAACCACAAGAAUCGUAUUGGCUUUGCCAUUAUUAAAAGUUUUUCCUUCUGCAUAAUUUAUGGAUUCGUAUGAUGCAAAUCCACAUCCAGCUAGAGUCACAUGUCUUUUGUUUCCAGCAAGCAUAUCUUUCAUUGCCAUGACACACUCAGUCUCAGACUCAAUGUUCCUAAAACGGCAAGGAUCAACAGAAGCAGAUCAAUGAAGUAGUGUAAUAAGUGUAUCAUGAUGUGUCUUGGCUAGUAUGAUACGAUUUUCACUAAAUGCCUUGAACUGCACUAUUUGCAACUGCCUGUAUGACGUGUGAUUUUGCAGAAUCAGGGAAGCACUUUAUCACUAAUAUAACCUAUGGAUCUGAUCUGGUACCUAUAUUUUCAGCUUCUUCUGUUGAUAACCUUCGCUUUGAAGUACAAAUACUCUCUUGACUAAAACCCAAUGCUAAUUCUUUAGUCUUUACCAUCUACUGUCAGGCUUCUUAUUCUUAAAUGUUUGACCGGGUAACAGCAUCAUCUUGUUUAAAUGAUUUAUGGGAUCAGGUUGAGCACACCAGAGUCCUAAAUGUUGUUUACCGUUCUGCAACUGCUCUGGAUCUCAUCUACCAUCUAUAGCUAUUGCCAAAGCCAGAGUUGCUGGUGCAGGUGCUCUUCUGUGCCCUGUUUCUAGGAGCACUCAGGUCGUGAUGAAGCGAGCACAAAAUGUUGCCCAAGCUGUUGUUAGAACACCUUCAUCUUUUUCAUCAUGGCUAUGCAUAGGGCCAUGAUGUCUCUCUGUGGUGCAUCAGCACACUCUAAAGUUGAUGCUUUGCCAGAAGCUUUUGUGGUAUCUGAAAGUUCUGAAACUAUUGUCACUCAAGUUCAAACAAAAGAAUCUGUGCAGAACAAACUAGGAUGUAAUUCAAGCAGUGAAUCAGGGCAUGAUGAUACUGAGGAAGACGAGCCUCUUAUUUCUGAUGAUAGAGUCAUGAAUUCUUCUGCCAUUGAAGAUGUUACUGAAGGUGAACUGUGGUAUGAACUGGAGAAGGAGCUUCAGAGGCAAGAGAAUGAAGUUGAUAUUGAGGCCCAGGCAGAAGAAGCUGCUGCAGCGAAAGAAAUUACUGAAGAAGAGAGUGUUCUGGCCAAUGCAGCCGAAACCUUAAGUCCCAUAACUUCGGCAGAUGUUUUAGACAGCCACCAGUUCUAUCCACCUGGUAGAAUCAUGCAUAUUGUUUCUGUGCCUUCCAAUAUUGACAUAGAUGAUGGAACCACUGAAGAUGUGGGUAUAUACGAGACACCUAGAGAACUGUACAGUAAGAUCCGCCUUUCAAGAACGAUGAUUAAUGAUCAUUAUAUGCCAAUGUAUAAGAAGAUGAUGGAAUUGUUAAUCAGGGAACUGGAAAAGAACGAAGAUUGUAAUUGUGCGCAAGAUUAGAUAUACAAAGGAAAAAAAAAUGUAUAUUCUAUAUUCGGUAUUCACGAUCAGGUGCCAUAAUGUGAGUGUUUUAGGUCCUUUAAGUUGAUAAAUUAUAAUGCAUCCUGUUCAAGUGGAUACAAAUAGCACUUGCCAGCGACUGGCUCUGGCGCGUAGCCAUAGACUUGGAUCAAUCUCUUUGAAUGAGAUUUAUGAU